rnacentral:rRNA from 1 species
CAGCAGCCGCCACGGGAAUACGGAGGGUGCAAGCGUUACUCGGAAUCACUGGGCGUAAAGGACGCGUAGGCGGAUUAUCAAGUCUCUUGUGAAAUCUAACGGCUUAACCGUUAAACUGCUUGGGAAACUGAUAAUCUAGAGUAAGGGAGAGGCAGAUGGAAUUCUUGGUGUAGGGGUAAAAUCCGUAGAUAUCGAGAAGAAUACCUAUUGCGAAGGCGAUCUGCUGGAACUUAACUGACGCUAAUGCGUGAAAGCGUGGGGGGCAAACAGGAUUAGAGACCCCGGUAGUCCCUGUCUCUUAUAA